CCUAAAGAUUUCACUUGCUGACUAGUACAAUAAACAGCUGCGCCAUGAGCGCAUGAUACGCCCGUCGUCUUGUGUGUGAAUUUUUAUGCAAUAAGCAUAAAUAGUUUCUGACAUACGGCGUGACAUGCGAAAACCCCCUUUUUUUUUACAAAAAACUCAAUAUAUCUAAAAUAAAAUUUUGAAUCAAAACCAAAAAGUAUACAGAUCUUUAGAUUAAUAUAACUAAGAAGUGUGUAAAAUUUUAAGCAAUAAUCAUAAAUUGUUUUUGAGAUACGGCGCGACAUGUGAAAAACCCCUCCCCCUUUUUUUACAAAAUACUCAAUAACUCAAAAAUAAAAUUUUGAAUCAUCACCAAAAAGUAUACAGAUCUUAAGAUUAAUAUAACUAAGAAGUGUGUAAAGUUUUAAGCAAUAACCAUAAAUUGUUUUUGAGAUACGGCGCGACAUGUGAAAAAAACACACGCCUGUUUCAGUUACUAAGUCCCGUAACUCAAAAAGUUUUAAUCUUAUUUUCACCAAAAAGUAUACAGAUCGUUUGACCAUCAUAAGAAACAACUAUCUUAAGUUUCAUGAAAUUUGGAUAAGUCAUUCUCAUGUUACGGUGCGACAUGUUUACGCCGGACAGACAGACGGACAGACAGACAGAUGGACAGACAGACAGACGGACGGACGGACAGACAGACAGACGGACGGACGCCGGACAUUUGUAUACCAUAAUACGUCCCGUCAAAAAUUUGACGGGCGUAUAAAAAUGUAG